AUUGAACGCUGGCGGCAGGCCUAACACAUGCAAGUCGAACGAGUGGCGGACGGGUGAGUAAUGUCUGGGAAUCUGCCUGAUGGCGGGGGAUAACUACGGGAAACUGUAGCUAAUACCGCAUAACAUCAGAUGAGCCCAGGUGGGAUUAGCUAGUUGGUGGGGUAACGGCUCACCAAGGCGACAAUCCCUAGCUGGUCUGAGAGGAUGACCAGCCACACUGGAACUGAGACACGGCCCAGAUUCCUACGGGAGGCAGCAGUGGGGAAUAUUGCGCAAUGGGCGCAAGCCUGAUGCAGCCAUGCCGCGUGAAUGAAGAAGGCAUUCGGGUUGUAAAGUUCUUUCAGCGGUGAGGCGUUAACUGCAGAAGAAGCACCGGCUAACUCCGUGCCAGCAGCCGCGGUAAUAC
rnacentral:rRNA from 1 species